rnacentral:misc_RNA from 1 species
AAAAAAAAAAAAAAAAAAAAAAGCGUAUUUAGGAUAAUGAUAUUGGUAAGAUUAUUGAGAUGAUGCAAUGGUGAUGUGUGUGGAUUAUACAAAAUUGAGUUUGUACCACUUUAUUUAACCAAAUCAAAAUUCACGCAAUUCCAUUCUGUGGUUCAGAUUCAGUUCGAAGUCUAGUUUUUUUGGUGUUCAGGGAAAUUUCAGGCGACGCAAGUGAUGUCUGCUAGUAACACACUCUACUAAUAAUAAUUGACCAGUCGUCUUUUCUUUGGGCAACCGUAAUUUUGCAAUUAAAGUAAUGGUAAACUCUGGGUUUGGAAGUUCUUUCAUCCAAAUUUUUAUUAAAAAAUAAUUGUAAUUUACCAAGAGUGCGAAGUGGAUACAGAGUGCAAUUUAACUGUACUUUGUCCCACCAAUCUGUUACUUAUUUGCCGAAGGUGUGGUGGUUUUGGAAGGUCAAGUGACGUGUUGACUGUAUGCCUGUUUGCCCAGUUUGUGCUGUCAUUGAGCUGACUACUCUUUAUGCACUGGUGGAAUGUGAUGCUGCAAAGGAAGUAUGGUUGCUGAGUGGGCUGGGUCGGAGGAUGUCUUUGGGCAAUUGAUUGAGGCGCUUGAUCAGCGCGAUGACAUGCAUUGAAGUGAAUUGGCUCUUGUGCUCUUUUGGGCCUGUGCUAUGAUAGAAAUGGAGUGGUUUGGCGCCAGGGGCAACUAGCCACAGCACAGGGUGAUGACGCUAGCCAAAUCUGCUCUUGAUAAGUGGCAAGGGGCUCAAGUACUUUGGCUCUUUAUGCAACCUGUUCAACCAGCCAGUCAAUGGUAACCUCCACCGCAUGGCACGAUUAAGUGCAAUUUGGAUGGGGCUGUUGACCUUUGCAAUGGGAGAACGGGUAUGGAUGGGUACUAAGGGAUGCGGAGUGUCACUUUUUAUAUGCUACAAAGCAACUCCACGGCUUGCAGAAGUUUAUGCGGUAAGAGAGGGGCCCUAGUUGGCUCAAGGAACAGAGCUUCUCCCAUGUUCAAGUUGAAACUGAUUGCCUUUCUUUUCUUCAAGCUAUCAACGGUGCAACUAUGGGUGAAUCUUAUUUUGGUAGUUUGCUCUUGCUGAUGUAAAAGCUCUUUUGGAUUAACUAUCUUUUGUUUAUGUUUCUUUUAUUCGUAAAUAAGUGAAUCAGACAGCCCAUGCUUUGGCUAAGUUAUUGUUUCUGCGUCUGAUUUGGAUGGCCAUCAUUCUUGUUUGAUGUUUUCCAUUUUUGACGUUGAUA